CUCUGCAAAAAGAGAAUAUUCAUUCAUUUAUUUAAUCUCACUUCAUUCUCGCUUUUAUCCUCUGUGAUUAUAAAUCUAUACAAGAAAUUGCUCUGAGAAAAUUUCUGCCGCCAUCAUCUUUCUCAUUAAAAUUAUUCAGGCUUUAGUGUUAGCCACGCCCACGAAAAAAAUCAAGAUUCAAGAAACUUGAAGAAAAGAAAAUGUUUAACAUAGGGAAUGAACCGCCAAGAAUGAUCCUGGCAAGAAUGUUCCUGGGGUUUGCAAUCGCGUUUGGAGCAGGAUUGAUGUUAUCUGGCAGUUAUAACCAAAAAUCAGACAGAGAGUUGAGGAUGAAAGAAGAUGUUGUGAGAGAUAUGGAGAGACAAGCAAGCACACAAGAAACAAAACCUCCUCCUCCUUAAAAAGCAACAGGAAUUGGAACAAAAACUAAAACAAAAAACGCAUAACUGAAUUUAAUACAAUCAGUAUUAGUUGCAGGAGCCGGAGACGCCAUGUUUAUAAACUAGUAUCUAUGCACACAGGAUAAAAAAAGAAAUAUUUCAGCAUAAAGAUUAUUAAUAACAUCAAAUAAUUGUCAGUACGCCUAGCUAUUGUGCAUAAAAAAAACAAGCAUGUGUGUAUGAGAGUGAAGAGAGA